ACUGGUUGGUGGCACACUUCACCCUGAACGGGCGAAGCUGUCAUGCACGGUUAAUACGCAGUGCAGAUACUUAAGCCCGCCUACCGCGGGCUUUUUUUU
rfam:Triticum urartu cultivar G1812 contig40111, whole genome shotgun sequence.